rnacentral:rRNA from 1 species
GACGAACGCUGGCGGCGUGCCUAAUACAUGCAAGUAGAACGCACAGUUUAUACCGUAGCUUGCUACACCAUAGACUGUGAGUUGCGAACGGGUGAGUAACGCGUAGGUAACCUGCCUGGUAGCGGGGGAUAACUAUUGGAAACGAUAGCUAAUACCGCAUAAUAUUAAUUAUUGCAUGAUAAUUAAUUGAAAGGUGCAAUUGCACCACUACCAGAUGGACCUGCGUUGUAUUAGCUAGUAGGUGAGGUAACGGCUCACCUAGGCGACGAUACAUAGCCGACCUGAGAAGGUGAUCGGCCACACUGGGAAUGAGAAACGGCCCAGACUCCUAAGGGAGGCAGCAGUAGGGAAUCUUCGGCAAAGGACGGAAGGCUGACCGAGCAACGCCGCGGGAGGGAAGAAGGGUCUCGGAUCGUAAAGCUCUGUUGUAAGAGAAGAAAGGGUGUGAGAGUGGAAAGUGCACACUGUGACGGUAUCUUACCAGAAAGGGACGGCUAACUACGUG